rnacentral:sRNA from 1 species
GGUGGAAUUGUUGGAUGGGAAGGAGGCCCUACAGAUCUCAAGGCCGACAGUAAAAAUAUCAGUCACCACGUUGUCGAUCGGCCAAUGGACAAGCUGGAG